CGCUUGGCCGCGAGAUACGCGAUUCCAUUCACAACUGCGCUUUUUGUGCGUUUCUUUUUCCAUCCAAUCGCUUCUCAGGGGGCUGCACACUAUUUAGCGAGAGACAAACGACAGCACCACAGUUCUGGCUGAGGAACGGCGUGUUCUCUCACAAACUACACCGGGGGAACGGCACACGUACGGCACCGACAGACACAUGCACAAGCGCGACAUUCACACUACACGCAGGGCACAAACACAGACGAGCGUUCCAAAACAAUUAAACAGCUCCCGUUGCGGUUCACAAACACGAAUGGAAUGUUUUGACAGGCUGCAGAAAAGUCUUUCGCCGACACGCACACACUUGCAGAGCCAUCGACGAGUAUUCGAACCGUGUUUCAAAUGCAGGGGUGCUCAACUGAACGGUAACUGAACUCAACUUUAAAAUAAAACUGGACUUCUUGAUGCGACUGACGAAAACUCCGAAAAUGAACCGUUCGCGACAAGUGAUUCAAUAAAACUCCACAGCCGUACUUAAAAGCUCUGCUUUUAUACCUAUCCCGCGACCAACAACCAAUGACUACUUUGGUUUUACUCUCGGAAGUAGAGCCUACUGCGCCUAAAUUUUUCUCAACCCAGAACAUUCGGACGUUGCGAAGCAAUGAAAAGCUAGGUCCUGUUUCUCCAUCGUGGAAUUAAAAUAUAAGAUUGAAUGAUUUAUAA